UACGAAGGGGGCUAGCGUUGUUCGGAAUUACUGGGCGUAAAGCGUGCGCAGGCGGUGAGCUGUGUCCGAUGUGAAAGCCCCGGGCUUAACCUGGGAAUGGCAUUGGAAACUGGCUCGCUGGAGUGUGGCAGAGGGGGGUGGAAUUCCGCGGUGUAGCAGUGAAAUGCGUAGAGAUGCGGAGGAACACCGAUGGCGAAGGCAGCCCCCUGGGCUAACACUGACGCCUCAGGCACGAAAGCGUGGGGAGCAAACAGG
rnacentral:rRNA from 1 species